UUCCUCUUCUUCUUCUUCUUCUUCACCAAACUAGAGCAAUUUCUUCUUCCAAAUUCAGGUGUAUUUAGAUUUGAUUUUUAGUGUGAAAAGGUUGAUUUUAUGAUGAGAUUCAAGAAGGGUACCAAAGUGGAGGUAUUGACCCAAAAGGAGAUGCCGUCGGGAUCAUGGCGGUGUGCCGAGAUAGUAGGUGGUAAUGGCCACAAUUACACUAUUAAGUAUGAAGGGGAUGUGGAGCUUUCAGGGAAUGGAAUGGUUGAAAGAGUGUCCCGGAAAGCGAUUAGGCCUUGCCCACCUACGGUGGAUGUAUUACAGGAUUGGGUAUCUGGUGAUGUUGUUGAGGUUUUUUACAACUAUUCUUGGAAGAUGGCCAUAGUUUUGAAGGUUUUGGUACAUAAUUACCUUUUGGUUAGGAUACUUGGAUCUACCAUUGAACUCAAAUUGAAUAAGUUUGAUGUUCGGGCAAGACUUUGCUGGCAGGAUGGUGAAUGGAUUGUGAUUGGAAAGGCUUCCAACAAAUGUGAAGAUUCGAGGUUCAGGCUUCCAUCGUCUCGAAAGGGUAAUAAUCAGUUGCAGAAAGUUGAUGCUGCUGUGUGUGUACCUAUGAAGGGUUACCAUGUUGGCACUAGGAAUCCUGAUAACCUUCAGGAAUCUCUUGUGAUUCCUUCCAGAGCUCUGAAAAGGAAGCAAUCUCAUUGCUAUUCUCAGAUUGAAGCAUAUGCAGUGCCUAAGCGGAAAAUUAGAGUGGAGAAAAGAGAGGACAUGCAGCAACAAUCCAAAUUACCUGAAAAGGGCCAUAGCAGGGGGCUUUUCCAGAUGCAUAAAGAUGAUACUGGGAUCUGCCACCUCUGUUUUGGUGUGACUGUGCCAGUAUCUGCAUCAAAUCCCUUGCUCUAGAAGCUUAUGAUGCUAUUGAUGUCUCUGUUACGCAUUGCUGGCUGCUGCAUUCUUUCAUUCUGGGAUGCUGGAGCCUUGAAUGCUUGUCUGCUGAAGGAUGUAAAGCCAGAAUCUUGUGUCUGCAACAAGGUAUCUGUGUUGAUACUUAAAAAGGUUCCAUUUUCAAUCUUUAUAUUGGAUUAGAGUUAUUCCAGCUUACCCUUUUGAUCAGUGCUAAGUCUCAUAUGGUCUCAUCAAUGACCUGCAUUCCUUGGAUUGGUUUAUGGUUGCUCCAAGUUUAAGUAACUUUCUUGCUACCUUGAAAAUUGAGAUAGAAGAAUCAUUUAUGACAUUAGUGAAGAUAACAAAUAUGUGACUAGAAAUACUAUUGAGUAUGAACUUAGCUAUUUAAAUUAUGGUUCCUUAUAUAGAACAGGAUAAUAUACUCUUUCAGGAAAUUAAUGAUAGUGUUUACUCACAUGUAUUUGUUGAAGGAAAUUAGCCACUUCGUAUAUGGUAAGCUAGCUAGAGAUUGUUUAGCAUCCUAUUAUUUAUGGAUAAUGUGAGCAGAAUUCAGAAAACUUGAAAGAAAAAUGAAGUAAAUAUGUCAUUCUUUGUUUAUGAUGUCAUAGAUUUUUUGUUGCUCAACUUCUAGAAAACCUUGAAAUUGGGUUUGGGUCCUUAAAAAAGAUGGUAAAGAUAUAAGUGUGUCUCAAUGUUAAUUCUCACACUGUCAGUAUGUAGUGUAUCUUUAUAGUUGAAGAUUUGUUUCUUUUAUGUAAUUAAGUUUGAAUUGUAACUUUGGUAUUUUCUUUACUCAUUGUAAAAGGCUGCCUUAUAUCAUCGAAUUUUAUCUAUCUCAGCUGUUCUUUAAGAUCAAUUAUAACUCUUCUAAAAACAAUUCGGCUCUCCUUAAUUCACUAAUGUUGUUGGUUUAUUUCACUCUGCUGCUACUGGACGAUGUAUGUCAUUUUCUCCUGAGAGCAUUAGUAGAGAUUUUAGCCCAUUUUAAGUGAGAUUCAUGUGUUGGAAGAUAGGAGCAUUAUUGUAUAAGUGUAACUGGUGAAGAUUUCAUUUUCUGUAACCAGAUAUUAGACAUUAUCCAGAAUACUGAAGUUUGCUAAUCCUCAAGCUCCACUGAGGCUAGUUCUUCUGUGAUUCGGGGACAUAUGUAACCGAGAUAUGAAAAAGCCCUGCUUAUCAUGCUUCUGUGAUCUCUGUUAGUAGCUGACUUUCACUUUGUUACAUAACCUUUGUCCAUAUCUUUACGUAAUAUAAGUGAUCAUGGAUGCAAUACAUUGUUAUUGCUAUAUCCAUCCUUGUUACUCUUUGUAAUUAUUGUUCCAUCAUAACUUCCUUUUUAGGGGAUUUGGAUAACAGAGAGAGAUGUUGGCAAUCCAUCUUUUGGAUGUUCAGAUGUUAUAUACAUAGCCUAUGAUUCAAGGGAUUGUCUUUUUUUUUUUUGCAUUUUAUUCUCUUUUUAGGUCAAAUUUCCCUUUUAGUCAGGGGUUGUCUAUUUAAUGCCCCAUUGUCUCUUGUUCUUACUUUCUACAUCUAACUAAUUCUGUGCAGAGGCUUAUAUUUACAAGAGAAGCACAAAAUAGUUGUCCACUUCAUCCUGUUUACCUUAUGGCCAAGCUCUUGAAUCUUGUGUCUGAACUUUGAAUCAGACGCAGGUUAUAGCUGAGCUCAGAUUAUUUAGCUUCUGCUUCAUUGAAUGAAGUGUAACCUGUCCAAUAUGCACUGUAAGUUGUGAAGACAGUUUCUGGUUGAGCUGUGUGGCUCAUCUUCUACUUUAGGCUACUGUAAUUUUCUCUGUGAAACUCUGAAGUUUGUUCUUGAAAGCUACAUUUUUUGCAAUCUUCGCAGCUAUAAACUCAUUUCAGAUUUGAAUAUUGAACUAAUAACUUUAUAAGAGAAGCAAUGUGAUCAUAUUUGUUCUGGGUGGGUUCCAUACCUUUCUUUCCUUUUUCAUUGCUGGCUCUUUUUCGAUAUGAUUAGAAGGACUUCAUCUGCAUACAAUUUUCUCAGAUCUGAGUAGUUUGCCCAGUGAGCAUUUAUUCUAGUUAUGAUAUUGAUCCAUCUUCUAAAUUUUACUUCAUGAUUGAUUGAAGGAAUUUAUCUUUUAAAGAACAUGUGAUUAGAGUUGCUGCGUCAUGUAUAUGGCCUUUUCUUGAAUCAUGUAAGCAGAGCUCAGGGACUUGUGAGCAUGUACAUUAGGAACAUUACUAUUUCCUUUGUUCUUGUGCCUGAGCCAAAUUUACAAAACAGCUUCCUAUGAUGUGGAUAAUUUCCUAUCAUUUAGCCUUGAUGGAGGCCUAUUGGCUAUUACCACCGACCACCUACUGUAAUAGAUUUUUAAGUGGGAUAUACAAGGUUUCUCUUGUUAAAUUAGGAAAUAGCUAGUUUAGUCUUUCUCAAAUAAUGUCAGACACACGUCUGUUCAAUGCUAGCCAGACAUGUAUAUAUGCUCUUCUGUAAACCUAGUCAUGUAUAGAAGAAUAUAAUUAGCCUUACUAUUAAUGAAUUCUAUGUUGGGAGCUCAGAAAACAUAUAUGAUGAAGUAUUAAUUAAGUCUUCUAUCACAUUGGCUAUAAUCACUAUUGUGAAUGGCCUCCUAAUUACCCACUUAUAUCUCUCCUAAUUUGAUUUAAGCUGCCUUCCACCUUGCGGAUCUGCGUACAAGACCUAUGUGGACAUGUGGAACUUGGGAUUCAUGCCCUGGUCUUGUCUGCUUAAGUUAGUUCCCGGGGCUGUGCAAACGAUGAGGUUGGAAUUGACUAUUUUUAAGCGUAGGUAAACGUGUGGCUCUUCCUCUAUCAUUUUAUAUUUUUCCAAAUUAGCAGUGAAACCCUGGUAACCUAUAGAGGGACGGAAACUGUUAUGAGAUCUUGCAUUCUUUCCUUAAUUUUCCACCUUGCUCCUUGCUGAGUCCUUAUGUUCAAUUGCCAUGGACUGCUUUGGGAUCUUCUUUAAGCCAUUUUAGGAUGAAAACAUCUAAACAAUUAUUUAAUUUUUCAUGAACUGCAUUUGCUGAACUGCUGAGAAAAAUACAUAGCAGUGUUAUAAGUUCACACAUGUGAUGUAUGAUUCUAGGUCGUCUGAAGAUGAUUUAAUUGUAUUGCAGGUCCAAGUUAUUCAAAUUUCAAAAGAACUUAUGCGGCUGAUGUGUUCUGAAAUUGUCUGAAAGCUGGCUAUGUACUUUCUUUUCUGAAAUAAACCUCUUGCAGAGUAACUGUCCCAUUUCUGAAUGGUAUAUAUUAUGAAAAAGUUUCCUCUCUCGGGGAGUUUUGGGGGUAGGGUAACAGUUUGCUGUUUUGUUCUUGAUACUAGUUUGUGGGAAAGAAUUGUGACUACGAAAGCUGUAGACUGUUUUACUGGAGUAUAUCUAUUGUUUCUCUUAUUAGUUUGCAUUUGCUUGUUGAAUUCUAGAAUCAUUUAGCUUGAUUUGAUAUGAUUAGUAACUCUUCCAAUUAAUCGCCGAAAGUAUAUUCCAACUUGCUGUAUGUAACUCCAGUUACUCUUGUGCUUAGCCAGUUUGGGACCUAAUAUCGGAUUUGUCGUUUCCUGUGAUUUUAAAGGACGAUUGGGAAAGGAAAGUCCUUUUUAAUACAGCUGAACAUCAAAAUCACAGAUCAUGAUUGAUGCGCCGAAACCAUUAUUGCACAUUGUUGGCUCCAGUUAAUGAUCUCCCUUGCUCAGCUUCCAUGUGACGGUGCCCCCCUCGCCCAUAUUCUCUUAAGGGACUAAGAGAGGGACAUGGACGGAAGGGGCAGUUAACAGCUGAAUAGCUGCUGUUGCGCCGACGCCUUCAAGUCUGGCAUUGAAGGCGAUUCAUAUUGAGUUGUUAAGGAUGUAACUAUCCAGGAAAGUCACGCACCCUGAACUUUUUGGUUCCCUGCAUGUUUGCCCGAAACUUGAAUCAGUAAAUUUCAUCGACGUCAUGAGAGGGCAGGACUUUUCACAGGAGUUUGAGGGUAAUAAGCACUACUGUCAUCAGUUAUCACCUUACUACAGUUCAAAUUAUAUUAACGUGACAAUUAUACAUGGAGAGAGUAUAUAUAUACAAUCUGCAUAAGUUUAUCCCCAAGCAGAAGACAGAUCAAACUCGAACCGGAAUUGAUGAAGAUGAAAGUAGAUGAUUUGAUUUCAAAUUCUCUUUCUAGCUUGUAAUGAACUAAUGAACUGCUUUUGCUGUUGUUAUUAAGUGUUAUUGCCGAUAUAGUAAGGCCAAGUACAUCACUUGAUUGCAAUAGCUAUUUCAUA